AUUGAACGCUGGCGGCAUGCCUUACACAUGCAAGUCGAACGGCAGCACGGGUGCUUGCACCUGGUGGCGAGUGGCGAACGGGUGAGUAAUAUAUCGGAACGUACCUUAUUGUGGGGGAUAACGCAGCGAAAGCUGUGCUAAUACCGCAUAAUCCCUAAGGGGGAAAGCGGGGGACCGUAAGGCCUCGCGCAAUUAGAGCGGCCGAUACCUGAUUAGCUAGUUGGUGAGGUAAAGGCUCACCAAGGCAACGAUCAGUAGCUGGUCUGAGAGGACGAUCAGCCACACUGGGACUGAGACACGGCCCAGACUCCUACGGGAGGCAGCAGUAGGGAAUUUUGGACAAUGGGGGCAACCCUGAUCCAGCAAUGCCGCGUGAGUGAAGAAGGCCUUCGGGUUGUAAAGCUCUUUUGUCAGGGAAGAAACAGCUGCUCUAACACAGUAUGCGAAUGACGGUACCUGAAGAAUAAGCACCGGCUAACUACGUGCCAGCCGCCGCCGUAA
rnacentral:rRNA from 1 species